UAUAGGUUAGAUAUAGGUCAGGUAUAGGUUAGAUAUAGGUCAGGUAUAGGUUAGAUAUAGGUCAGGUAUAGAUAGGUAAGGUAUAGGUUAGAUAUAGGUCAGGUAUAGGUUAGAUAUAGGUCAGGUAUAGGUUAGAUAUAGGUCAGGUAUAGGUUAGAUAUAGGUCAGGUAUAGGUUAGAUAUAGGUCAGGUAUAGAUAGGUAAGGUAUAGGUUAGAUAUAGGUCAGGUAUAGGUUAGAUAUAGGUCAGGUAUAGGUCAGGUAUAGGUUAGAUAUAGGUCAGGUAUAGGUUAGAUAUAGGUCAG
ensembl:lncRNA